rnacentral:rRNA from 1 species
CAACAUUCUGUACCCAGUCUCCUCUCGUCUCCUUCCUCCUUCCCAAGUCUCCUCCUCUCUGAUCCCCUAUAUCUCUCGGGUUGUAUUUCUCGAAUUGAAGUGAGGAACUCUGUAAUUGAUGUUGGAUUGGGUGUGAUUACCUCGGUACAUCACAGUUGGUAUCAGAUUCGGGCGAUCGGCAGCGGGGUGUGGCGAAUCGAGCUCGGUUACGGCUAGGUUGGGCUCUUCCGUGAAAUUCCGAGUCGUGAUCGGGGUUCGCGGCGGCGGUGUGGCGGCCGUUGUCAGAGUCGGCGCCGGUGGCAUUUUCUGGGCGGCGGUGGUUGUUCGGCUUUGGAUUCAGGUACGCCGCGGUUUCCCUCGGUUCCUUAUGAGGGUGUGAAAUUCCGGCGAGCGGCUGGAUUUGCGAGGCAAGGCGGCGAGCGGGUCGGUUGUAGAGGCUCAGGUUGGGGGCGUCCGUAAAACACCUGAGGCUCGCCGACUCCGGCGGCAGUAGACGAGGGCGCUACGGCUCCGACGAAGGCAAGUGUGCAGAUACGGUUAGUGCUCGACUCAAUGGCCACAUUCGAGGCAUCUGUUAUGAAGCAGCUUGAAGCUCUCUCCAAGGCCACUGAACAUCUCGGACACAUUGAUGAGAUAGCAGCUCGCCUAGAUAGGUUGGAUUUGAAGAUGGCUGAGCAAGUGGAACGCCUUGAUGUGGUGCAGGGUAAUGUGAACCUCGCAAUGAUAUCCAUGGGGGAAGCCCGACAAGCAGGCGGCAACAACAAGAGAGAUGCUGAACAAACAGUCAAUGCAGUCAUCGGCAGCCAGCGGUGAUGGAAUCCUGGGAUCACCUCCUCUGAAACAAGCUCAGCAGCAAGUACAAACUCAGGUACAGGGUAAUGCAACCUUUGGCGAGCGGUAUCAGUAUGAUACAGCAAAUGCCGGAUAGUCACACAGCCGGAAACCUUGGAUGCCGAAGAUGGAUUUUCCCAAAUUCGAGGGCUCGGAUGUCAGGAUUUGGUUAGAUGGAUGACAUUCCAGAAGCAUUUAAGGUAACAUAUGCAACCUUACACAUGUUUGGGGAUGCAGCGAACUGGUUUCAUGCAUACAAGUUAAUACAUCAGUGGCCAAGCUGGAGUGAAUUCAGAAUUGCGGUGACUACUGAAUUUGAUAGAAAUGUACACCGGAACAAAAUGAAAGAGUUGCUAUUGCUUAAACAGUCUGCGUCAGUCCUGGAGUAUAAAAGGGAAUUUAAUCAGUUGGUCUAUCAGCUGCUGCUAUAUGAGCAAUCUGUUAGUGAUACCUUUUUGGUCACCAGGUUUCUGUUGGGUUUAAAAGAAGAGCUCAGAGGAGCUGUAGAGAUUCAGUUGCCAAGGAAUGUAGCUGAAGCGGCAGAUUAUGCUAUUGUUCAAGAAGAAGUGAUGAGCAGAACUAAAAGUGUUAAAUCUUCUUAUACAAAGAUGUACAACCAGAAAUCUAAUAACAGAAUCAAUUCAGUGCCCUCGGGUGAUCUAUGGAAAGCUAGGCAGUUGAAAGAAUUUAGGAGAAUCAAUGGGUUGUGUUAUAGCUGCGGAGACAAAUAUAUGCCUGGUCAUGUGUGUGCUAAGUCCCCUACUGCACAGGUGCAUGUCAUGCAGUCGGACAAUUCUGCAAUACUCAGUGAUGAAAUUUUGGAUGCAGUUAUUACUCAGGAGGAAGCUAUGGCAGAAAUGCAGUUGUCUGUCAAUGCUCUAUCGGGUGCUGAUCAUCCCAAAACACUCAGAUUACGAGCUCUCAUCGGAAACCAGGUAGUUAUCAUACUUGUGGAUUCGGGCAGUACCAGUAGCUUCAUUGAUUCUGCAUUACUCCAGAGACUUAAAGUGACAACCACCACCUUAGACACUGCCUUGCCUGUAAGAGUGGCAAAUGGUGAAUUGCUACAAUGUACUGAAGAAGUAGCAGACUUACACUGGUGGGUGCAAGGUCAUACCUUCAAGUAUGAUUUCAAAGCCCUGGCUCUGAGAGGCUAUGAUUUGAUUCUAGGAAUGGAUUGGCUAGAGCAAUGGGGAGAAAUGGUAUGUCAGUGGAAAGAGAAGUGGGUGCAAUUUCAGUUGGAGGGACAUGUGAUCAAGUUACAAGGCCUUACUACUGCCGUUUCAUCUUAAUUGCAAGAAAUGUCAGCAGAGCAAGUGGUCCGGUGGCACCAGGGAAAUGAUAUAUGGGCCACUGUUUUGAUCUCCCCUGUGUCAGAUAAACAUACAAUAGGUGUUCCAGCCGAAGUGCAAGCUCUUUUAACAGAAUUUGAGGAUGUUUUUCAAGAGCCACAAUCUGUGCCACCUAGCAGAGUACAUGAUCAUGCAAUACAUUUACUUCCUGGUACAGUGCCUGUGAAUGUAAGACCAUAUAGAUAUUCUCCAUUACAAAAAGAUGAAAUAGAGAGACAAGUGGCAGAGAUGUUGCAAGUAGGACUCAUUGUGCCCAGCAUCAGCCCAUUUGCUUCUCCUGUUUUGUUGGUUAAAAAGAAGGAUGGAUCAUGGAGAUUUUGUGUGGAUUACAGGAAGCUGAAUUCUAUCACUCUGAAAAAUAAAUUUCCUAUGCCCAUUGUGGAUGAGCUAUUGGAUGAGCUGGGAGGAUCUAAAUGGUUUUCUAAACUGGAUUUAAGGGCAGGUUAUCAUCAAAUUCGAAUGGUGCCUGAAGAUGAACACAAAACUGCCUUUAAAACCCAUUGUGGACACUAUCAGUUCAGAGAGAUGCCCUUUGGAGUGUGUGGUGGCCCCUCCACUUUCCAAUGUGGUAUGAAUUUCAUGUUUGCCCCUCAAAAUAGGAAGUAUGUGAUUAUGUUCAUGGAUGACAUCUUAGUUUUCAGCAAAUCAUUCCUAGAGCAUUUGGAUCAUCUCAGAAACGUACUGCAAGUGUUGAGGGAGCAUCAAUUUUAUGCAAAAUUUAGCAAGUGUACUCGCUCAACAGAAAUUGGAAUAUCUAGGGCACAUUAUCUCAGAUACUGGGGUGUCUACUGAUCCUGAAAAGACUAAGGUCAUGUUGGACUGGCCAGUUCCCACUUCUGUUACUGAAUUGCGAGGAUUUCUUGGACUGACUGGGUACUAUAGGAAAUUCGUGCAGAGCUAUGGAAUUAUUGUCAAACCCUUAACUCAGCUCCUUAAGAAACAUGGCUUUGGGUGGUCUGAAGGUGCACAACAAGCCUUCGACACCCUCAAGCAGGCCAUGGCAACAACACCUGUACUAAGUUUGCCUGAUUUCGACCAACCCUUCAUCAUAGAGACUGAUGCUUGUGCAACUGGGGUGGGGGUUGUGCUUCUUCAACAUGGACAUCCUGUAGCUUAUUACAGCAAGGCACUGGGAGUUAAGAACCAACAUUUGUCCAUCUAUGAGAAGGAGUUUCUGGCCAUUAUGAUGACAGUGGAGAAGUGGAGAUCGUACUUGCAGAGAGGUCCCUUCAUCAUAAAAAUAGAUCAUCAAAGCUUGUGCCAGCUAGGAGAUCAAGUUCUCACCUCUGAUCUGCAAAGGAAGGCCAUGAUGAAAUUAGUGGGACUUCAGUUUUCUUUUCAGUACAAAAAAGGAAAUGAAAAUACAGUGGCAGAUGCCUUAUCUAGAGUGGGGCACUUGUUAGCUGUGACAACUACUUCUCAGAGUCAGCCAGUAUGGAUGAUUGAAGUCACUAAUUCAUAUGCAGUGGAUCCUCAGGCACAAAAAUUAUUGCAACAAUUGGCUGUGUUCACUGAGAAUGCAGAAGGGUUCUCCUUACACCAGGGAAUAAUUAAGCAGGAGGAUAGGAUCUGGAUUGGGGCAAAUUCAGCUUUAAAAACAAAACUGAUCUCUGCCUUUCAUGCUAGUGCUGUGGGAGGUCACUCUGGUAUUCAAGCCACUUAUCAAAGAGUGCAGAAAUUGUUUAGUUGGCCUGGCAUGAAGCAAGAUGUGACUGAAUUUGUGUAACAGUGUGAGAUUUGUCAGAAAGCUAAACAUGAAAACUGUAAGUCUCCAGGGCUGUUGAAUCCCUUGCCAGUGCCAGAUAUACCUUGGCAACACAUCACUAUGGAUUUUAUUGAGGCCUUGCCUAAAUCCAACGGAUAUACAGUCAUCUUGGUUGUGGUAGACAGGUAUACAAAUAUAGCCAUUUCAUUGCUCUCAAACAUCCCUUCUCUACACCCACAGUGGCUAAAGAAUUAUUGGAGUCAGUGGUCUAACUCCAUGGGCCACCCUCUUCUAUUGUGUCAGAUAGAGAUAAGAUAUUUACAAGUCACUUUUGGAAAGAUUUAUUCAAGUUAUGGGACACAAAGUUGACCAUGAGCACAACUUAUCACCCCCAAACGGACGGGCAAAGUGAAAGGGUCAACCAAUGUGUGGAGAUGUACUUGAGGUGUGCUGUCCAUGUCAAUCCUCACAAAUGGCACUCCUGGCUUGCUCUAGCUGAAUUUUGGUACAACACCAAUUACCACUCUUCUCGCUGCUCCCCGUUUAAGGCUCUCUAUGGUUACAACCCCAAUUAUGGGUUCUUUUCAUCAGUGCUUCAGUCGGCUAACGUGGAUGUGGAACAAUGGUUGAGAGAACACCAAUCCCACUCAGCCUUACUCAAAAACCACCUGCUAAAAGCUCAAGCAAAGAUCAAGAUGUAUGCGGAUCAACAUAGAUCUGCACGCUCUUUCUCAGUGGGAGAUGAGGUCUUUUUGAAGUUGCAACCGUAUGCCCAACACUCAGUGGUAAAUAGGCCUUGUGCUAAGUUGGCCUAUAAAUAUUAUGGUCCUUUUCAGGUUCUGGAGUGUAUAGGUCCAGCCGCCUACAAGCUCCAACUUCCUACGGAAGCUCAGAUACAUCCAGUUUUUCAUGUGUCUCAAUUGAAAGAACACAAGUCAGAUCACACUCCAGUGUUUUCUCAGUUGCCUGCAGCAGUCGACUUGUCAGGUGUUCAAGUGGUGCCAGAGAGGAUUCUUGAACGCAAGAUGGUGAAACGCCACAACAAGGUGCAGGUCCAAGUGUUGAUUCAGUGGUCUGGUUUAGCAGCUGAAGCAGCCACCUGGGAAGACUAUGAUGUCUUGAAGAACAGGUUUCCGGACGCACCAGCAUGGGGACAUGCUGCAACUCAAGAGGGAGGCAUUGUCAGUACAGCUACGACAGUACUGACAACGACGACAGACACUGAAGCCACCUACGUGUAAUUCAUGCGGAAGGUUAGUGGGCCUAAAGUAGUGGGCCGCGUCUGGUGAGCGAGAGGCAGUAGUAUAACAGGCCGAGUCGCCGGAUCGGUGUGAUAGCGAGGAAUUAGUCAACAUUCUGUACCCAGUCUCCUAUCGUCUCCUUCCUCCUUCCCAAGUCUCCUCCUCUCUGAUCCCCUAUAUCUCUCGGGUUGUAUCUUUUGAAUUGAAGUGAGGAACUCUGUAAUUGAUGUUGGAUUGGGUGUGAUUACCUCGGUACAUCACAUUCGGUUUUUCAUAGUGGUAUUUUGGUACUUGUGGUUUCCACCAGUGAUAUUGUGG